CUCUCACCUAAGCUCUGGAUCAGAUUCCUCAGAAAACUCCACAACCCCAAAGACAUCUAGCCAGUGCCUCCUGGAAAGUGUUACCGGUGAAUGUGUUCAGAGGUCCCCAUCUGCACUUUCCCUGAGGAAUAAGGUAGUUACUGUGCACCGAGUCAAGGUGGUCUUUACUGGGAUCUCAGGAACGCUGCUGAGUUGGAGGAGAUAGAGGCCCCGCUCUUCUUCUUUGAAGUCCCCAUCUAGAUGCUCCUCCUCUUCCUAGAGAAGCGGCCGCUGGGCGCGCAGGCUGGGACC